rnacentral:rRNA from 1 species
UCGAACGUAAGAUGACUGUAGGUGAAAGCUUACAUCUCUUCGGAGCAUUUUACGAGGUGCUGCAUGGUUGUCGUCAGCUCGUGCCGUGAGGUGUCGGGUUAAGUCCCAUAACGAGCGCAACCCCUACCUUUAGUUGCCAUCAGGUUAAGCUGGGGACUCUAAAGGAACUGCCUACGCAAGUAGUGAGGAAGGCGGGGAUGACGUCAAAUCAGCACGGCCCUUACGUCCAGGGCUACACACGUGCUACAAUGGCCGAUACAGAGGGCAGCUACCUGGUGACAGGAUGCAAAUCUCCAAAGUCGGUCUCAGUUCGGAUCGGAGUCUGCAACCCGACUCCGUGAAGUUGGAUUCGCUAGUAAUCGCGCAUCAGCCAUGGCGCGGUGAAUACGUUCCCGGGCCUU